CUCCCAUCUGCAAUGAGAUCUCUGUUUACCCAUUCGGGUGUCAAGUCGUAUCUUAUUUCAGUAGAACAAAGCAAUGCAGCCAUUCCCUGCACAACAUAGCUUAAAAAAAGUGCAUCUUAAUUUAAGCCUUACACAUUUUGAAUUUAUUUGACUCUGAGAGUCGAACCCUGGUUAGCUUGAGUUGUGUGGUAGUAAAUAGCAUUAUGCUUUAAAAUAUGAUUAUGAAACAAGAGUUAGCUCUCGUAAAUUUUUAUCUUAGAUUUUAGGUAUUUCUUGUAACUUAAAACUGAAACAAGGGGCAAAUGAUCAAUUUUUAUUUUUAACUUGAUAACUGACAUUUCUCAACUUUUUAAAAGGUUGGCUAAUAUUAUGAAAGUUUGAAUUAUUAUAAAUUGUCUUGCAGUACAAAUUGGUGCAAAGAAUUUUGUUUUAUUUAAUAACUGACAGCUCAAAAUUACAAAAUGUGUAUUUUUGCAAAACCCAUAUUAUAAAAUUUAAGCUUAUAAAAGUCGUGUAUUUCACAUUAUUAAUAUUUUAAGGUUGUUUUUUUUUGGUUGUGUAUGCUUAUACAUAUAUCAGAAACUUAUGAAGAUAAGCAUAACUCUAUUAAUUUAGGCAUAUAAUUAUCCUAAUGCUUUUUUUUUCAUACAUUAAAAAAAAUGAUUUUACUGAUCUCGGUAUUGCUACUACCUAGGCAUUCAAUAUUACCAAGAUGAAGUAAAUUAGUUGCAUUCCAACAUAAUUUAAUGUUGUAUUUGAUAAAACUAUAUUUAAAUCUUUUUUUAAUUUUUUGAAACAUUAAAACUUCCGAUUUGAGACUCUAAUUUUAGGAUUUUAGUUAAAGUUAUCAUUGCUAGUGUUUCCAAUAUGCUUUUUAGAACACUUCUAAUCAAGAAAUAUAUAUAUAUAUAUAUAUAUAAUCAGUUCCCUGAAAUAUUAAUUUAUUAACAGGUUAAACAGCAAACAUAUCAAUAUUACAGGAAUAAUAAUUUUAAAAAUGAAAUUGAAUUGCAUUUACAAUGCACAGUUACAUUAAUAAUUAUAACAAUUCACAUCACAGUUACAGUUGUCAUGACAAAAUUAAAAAUAUCAUCAGUACAAUUUUUGAUUUCAGGAUAUACUUUAUUCCAUACAAAUCUUGUGCAGUUAUAAAAGCAAAUGUCCUUAUAUAAUGUAUCAAAUAUUUGAUUUCCCUAAUAAUAAUGCAAGUUGGAAUGUUUAUUAUUUUGUAAUUGUGAACAAAACUAGUUACUGUUGGGUGCCAAAAACUAUUCUUGCUAGGGAAAAACAAAACUCUUAAGGGAAAAAAGCUUAAAUGACUUAAAUCUUUUUAAUGAAACAUUAAAGGACAUAACACACGAAAAACAAUAAUAGGACAAACAAUUAAUAAAAUCAUUUAAGGAAACGUACAAUUCUCGGGGUUAAACAUGGUGCUUAAUCCAUGACUCCAGAACACAGACUAAAGUUUUAUCGAGCGGCCGCUAGGUGGCAAGCUGGAAAAAUGGUCCGGUUACAAUUUGAGUUUUCAACUCGCAGCAUAGUAAAAAAAAUAUUUACGGCCAAAUUGCUCUGAUGACCAUAUCAUUUCACUUGGUGAUGAGUAGCAAAUUGUAAUUUGGCCCAUUUUGCUAAAGACGUGACUUGUAUAUUGCCUGAUCAUAAGAAUAUUUAAUGACAUUUAUAAUUAUUUGUUUUUAACAGAAGUGAGAAUUCUGUAUGUUUCAGUUUUAUUGACACUAUCAAUACCUUUGUUUGGUCAUAACAAAUUUUAUUGAUAUAACAAUGACAUGUUGGAUUAAAAUAAAAAAAAAUCAAGCAUGGUUAUUUUUUUUAUAUCGAUAAAAAGUAAAUGAACUAAAUUUGAAAGAAACUACACACUUCAGGCAUGGUCAAAAAUUGCUCAUAUGCCAUAAAACAUAAAUGAAUCUGGAUCAUUUUUAUUUGAAAUCAAAUUAUCCAUGAGCUUCUUGUUGUUACUCACCAUCAUUAUUAAUGUUUAUUGAGCAGGCUCUGUAAUUUGAAUUUCAGUUACAUAUUAUAUUUCUACUAUAUUAUUGCCGGGUAUGAAUAUGAAAUAAAUAGACACAAUUUCAUCCUUUCUUUUAAAAUUAAUGUACUGUUCUUUAAUAUUGGUUUCAUCUAGAUAGAAUAGUAAUUUCAGGUAUUCCAUUUAGUUCUUAGAAUUUACAAUUGGAGUUGAAUGUUUUGAAACAUUCUGUAUUAUUUCGAAAAAUCCUAUGUAAUUUGAUUACAUAUUAUAAAAUAUUUUAAUCUAAUUACAACAUAUUUAUUAAAAAAGUUUCAAUUGUUUUUUUUUUCCCUGGAGAAUUUUUCAAUCUGCAUGGACUUGCUUAGAAGAGCUUAAAUCUUAACUUUUCUGUCCAACAAUAGCAUUUACAUGAUAGAUAAGGCUCUAAAAUUAUAUUUUCAAAUGAUUGCUGAACAUAUAUUAUUGACUUUCAAUUUCUUUAAAGAGCCAAGAAAUUCUAAAACUCAAAAUUCUUCACUUAUUUGAUUACAUCAAAUAAUAUUUGAAUGCGGGAAAUUUGAAUUAAUUUUCAAAGAUACUGCAGAAAAAAUUUGUUGUUUUUUUUUUAAAUAUUUUCCAUUGAAUAGAUGAAUUUUAACUUUUAUUUUAAAACGUUAGUAUGCUAUUGGCAAAACCUAUACCAAAAAUGUAAUUUUAAAAAAAAGGUAGACGUUAAUACAGUACUUACAUUCUUUAUAAAACUUUUUAAUUUGGCACAUUUGUAGUGAUUUCAAAUUUAAAAUAUGCUUUGGAUCUCAGUCUUUUACUGAGAAAUAUUCAAAUGCGUUUUGAAAAUCAUUUUACUAAACAGAACUCAGAAACUAGCUGGAUUUUUCUUUCACUUAAAACUGUACAGUUAAUAAUAUAAAAUGAGAUUUCAAACAGCUGAGUUAAGAAUUGUUAUAAAUAAAAAUUGUUUUAUAAGUAAAAUUUGCCAGAUUUAAUCUUAUUCUGAGAAAAGAUUUAUUAUUUAGUCACUAUAAGGUUUAAGCUUUUUAAUUCAAAUUUUUGAUAAUGGUUUUUUAAUGUGUUUAAUAUUUAACAAAUAAGAUUUGGUUAAUAUUUUUAAAAUUUAUUGGUACCAACUCGAUAGUUUUAAUUAUAUUGAAUAUCUUGUGAUUUAGAAAAGAAUCAGAACUCAUUUCUCCUCAAUUUUUAAUUUGUGCAUUUUUGAGCUCGAAGUGUUAUUUGAUUUGGGAAAUACUUGUCAUGUUUAAGGCAUCUAGUUUACUAAAUGUUCAAGUAAUUAAACUGCAAACAAUAUAGUCAUGUGAUAUAUCCCUGCAGGAUUGGUUUGACAAAAGUUAUUUCCCUAUUCUGGAUGCUUGCUUUUCAGUCUUUACCCAAGUCUAAUGAUACUUUUAGUCUGAUGCAUAACCUGUUAUUAUAUAAGAAUUGUGUUCUGGUCCCUUUUUAUUCACACGACAAAACAUACUUUUUUUAAAUAUACACAACUUUCAUGAUGAUAAGUAUUGUAAACUGUUUCAUAUCUAGUAAUUUUUCUAUAAAAAUCAUACUGAAGAGUCCAAAUUUGCUUUAAAUUUUACACAAAUCAUCUUAACUACUAAUCUAGAUUAUCAAGACACAAGUUGUUACGAGCGCCUUUGGCUAAAAACUAAUUUUAACUUUAAUCAUACUAGAGCUAUAACUUGCUUUUACAACUCUAAAAUCAGAAUUAACUGCGCGCGAAACCAAUGUAUGUUUUUGUAUAUGGCAACUAAAUAUAAAUAUAGCAUGUAAAUAGAAUUGUAAUUUAGAUAGAUAAUAAAAUGGAGUCGGAUUAAUAACGAGUGGAUUAUUUCACAUUACGAUCCCACAUCUUUGAAUCUUAUUAGCGGAGAAACGACUGAAUGAAAUGAAAUUCAGGUAGAGUCUCAACAUUGUGGUGACCCGGACGUGAUUGCUAAAAAUACGGUACGUCUGUUUUUAUUUGCAAUAAGAAUUAAGUAGUGAAAUAAAAAUGGAGAUGUCCGUUAAGAAGCGAAUACCUAUUAGAUCUAACUUUACGAAAACGUAUAAUGUUUUAAUUGAAAGAUUAAAGGUCGAUGAACCUCAGGAAAAAGAGAUUAAAUCACUUUUCGGCAAUUUGGAACGAAUUUAUUCGGAUUUGGCCAAAUUAGAUAAUGAAAUAUGUAGUUUUCUUCUGGAAAAUUCUGAUACCGAAAAGUAUGAAGAUGAGUAUAUGAAAAUCGAAGAAUACAGCACAAAAAUGAUUGAAGCGAAAGUAAAUGUGGACAUAUAUUUGACUAAACUUUCUUACGCUGAAAAGGAAAGCGUUGGUUCUGUUUCUCCUAGAAUUAAACGAAAACUUAAGUUACCUAAAAUAGAACUCGUUAAAUUUAACGGUGAAAUUAAGAAUUGGCUGGCUUUCUGGAGUCAAUUUAAGCGUAUUCAUGAUGAUGAUAAAUUAGAAAAUGAAGACAAAUUUCAAUAUUUGAUCCAAUGUGUAAGUGAAGGAACUAGAGCUCGGGAAAUUAUAGACAGUUAUCCUCCAACAAAUGCGAAUUAUUGCAAGGCAAUAGAAAGUUUAAAAUCGCGUUUCGGAAAGGAUGAGUUGCUUAUUGAAUACUACGUUCGUGAGCUACUAAAAUUAGUUAUAAUAAAUGCUUCAGAAGCUAAAAGGAAAUUAAGCACGUCGCAAAUUUAUGAUAAAUUAGAAACUUACUUAAGAGCUCUAGAAUCAAUUGGUUUAACAUCAGACAAGUAUUCAGCAAUGCUUUUCCCCCUGGUGGAAUCCUGCAUACCUGAAGAUAUAUUCAGGGUAUGGCUGCGUAAUCCAAUUAUAAUAGCAAAUCAUGACCCGGAAAGCAAUGCUUAUUCAGAAAAACUGAAAAACUUAUUACUCUUUCUGAAAACAGAAAUAGAAGGUGAGGAAAGAAUUCGCUUAGCGAGAUCAGGAUUUGCGCCUAAGGUGUGUAAGGAGAGGAAUUCUGAUUCUGUGGCUACUGCUACAGAUUUGUUUUCAGGAGGUACAGAAAAAAGAAAACAUAAUACCAUCUGCGUUUUUUGUGAAAACCCUCACGAAAGCAAAGAAUGUUACAAUGCCAAAAAAUUUGAUUUUGAAAAGAAACAAAAGAUUUUGAAAAAUAAAAAAUGCUGCUUCACUUGUUUAAAGCCUGGCCAUAGGUCAAGAAUUUGCAAGUCAAAUGUACAGUGCCUGCUUUGUAAUAAGAGGCAUUGGACUUUGAUGUGUCCAGAUCUGCCAACAAACAAACCAAAAGUCAAAACACCUGAGGUGGAAGAGAAUCUAAAUGUCAAUUUAUCCAAUCAGUGUGCUGCUGAAGAAGUUCUCCUUCAAACAUUGCAAGUUAAUAUUAAAGCAGAAGGAAAAACACGCAGAGUACGAGCUCUUAUUGACAGUGGUUCGCAGCGAUCAUACUUAUUAGAGAAAACAAUUAAAGAAAUGAAUCUGAGGCCCAUUGAAGUUAAAAAUAUCAUACAUUCGGUAUUUGGUGGAUCUACGUUAGAAAAACAAGAUCAUGGACUAUAUGAAAUAACCCUUCAGAAUUUGAAUACGGGAUUCACUUACGAUAUGCAAGUCCUCGAUCAACCAAUUAUAUGCGGAAAAAUACCUCGGAUCCACAAAGGAAAUUGGCAAAAGGAGUUGAAGAAAAAGAAUAUAAUACUCUCUGAUCAAGGCAAAGAUUGUCCGGACAUUGAAUUGCUGAUAGGAGCUGACUUUUGCGGACAGUUAUUCUCAGGAAAUAUAUAUGCUCUGAAAUGUGGAUUAGUAGCAUAUGAAACAAAAUUAGGCUGGCUGAUCAUGGGUAAAGUUUUUGGAGGAAAAGAGGAAAAUACUUCCGCUCAACUGGUGACUUCAAUGCUAAUACAAAAUAGCUCUAUCUCUGAUCUUUGGAAAUUAGAAACUUUAGGUAUUAUGGAUCCAGUUGAAACUAAAUCUAAAGAAGAAAUGAAAAGAAACGCAAUGGAUCAUUUUAUGAAAGCAGUGGAUAGAGAUGAAAAUGGCAGAUACAUAGUUAAGCUACCUUGGAUAGAAGCAAAAGAAAUUCUACAAGACAAUAGAUCCACAGCUGAACAACGUUGUAUCCGUACUUCACAAAAGUUAAAAGAUGAAAAGAAAUAUGCAGAAUAUGAGGCUGUUUUUGAAGAAUGGCUUGAGGAAAAUAUAAUAGAGAAAGUGCCCAAAAUGGAGGAGGGAAAUCCAAGUUAUUAUUUGCCGCACCGAGGUGUUUUUAAGGAAAACUCAUCAACCAAAGUACGUCCAGUGUUUGACGCUUCUUGUCGAGUUAAGAAAGUUCCGUCCUUAAAUGACUGUCUGGAAAAGGGACCAAAUUUAAUAGAGCAAAUUCCACCCAUUUUAAGAAAAUUCAGACAAAAUAACAUUGGGGUAAUUUCUGAUAUUAAAAAAGCCUUUCUUCAAAUCUCAUUUGCAAAAGAGGAUCAAGAUGUUUUGCGAUUUCUUUGGUGGAAAGAUUACGAAACAAGAAAAUUUGAGAUACUUCGUCACCGCCGUCUUGUUUUUGGCCUCACUUGUAGUCCUUUCCUCUUGGCAGCGGUUUUGAUGAAUCAUCUAGAGGAAAGUAAAGAGUGCUUUCCUGAAACCUCCGAAAUAUUGAAGAAUUCCUUUUAUGUAGAUAACUGUGUGACAUCCGUGCGCAAUGAAGAUGAUCUUACCCGAUUCAUUCAAGAAGCAAAGCUGUUGCUUUCCAAGGCUUGUUUUGAUCUUCGAGGUUGGGAAUAUACAAGGGACCUAAGUCGGGACGAGCCAACUGUUCCAACCUCAGUACUUGGACUGUUAUGGAAUACAAAUGAAGAUUUCCUUUUCUGUGAUUUACAAAAUACAGAAUUUAAUUUUGAUGUUUGCAGUAAAAGAAAUAUUCUGUCAACGUCUCAAAAGAUAUUUGAUCCACUUGGAUUUUUAUGUCCUGUGACAAUAUGUUUAAAACUCUUAGUGCAAAAUAUUUGGAAAAGAAACUUAGGGUGGGAUGAAAUUCUACCAGAUGACAUUCAGAAAAAAUUCAAAACUUUGAUUGUUGAUUUGAAAUUGCUGUCUGAAGUUAAGAUCCCUAGAUGUGUAAAGAUCAAUGGCUGCACCGAAGGACUAAGUCUUCAUACCUUUUGUGAUGCCAGCAAAGUUGCAUACAGUACUGUCGUAUUUUUGAGAAAUACCUUGGGAGAGGAAGUCAAAAUAUAUUUUAUAGAGGCAAAAAGUAGAGUAGCACCUUUAAAGGUUAUUACAAUACCUCGUCUAGAAUUACUAGCAUGCUGCAUUGGAGCUAGGUUAACUUCAGAUAUUAAAAAUUCUAUGUCUUUGAGAGACGUACCUACUUUUUAUUGGACAGAUUCUUCUGUUGCUCUUCAUUGGAUUCAAAAAGAAGAUCAUUGGGGUACGUUCGUGAAUAACAGAGUAGAAGAAAUAAGAAGUCUUUCUUCAAAGGAUGCUUGGAAGCAUCUCCCAGGCACUUGCAAUCCUGCUGAUCUCCCUUCCCGUGGUUGUUCAAUCCAAGGAUUUUUGAAAUCGAGAUGGUGGGAGGGCCCACAGUGGUUGAAACUUCCAGAAGAAGAAUGGCCAGCGACAGACUCUGAAUACAAUUUUGAAGAGGUUUUCCGGGAAAGGAAAAAGAGGGUCGUAACUUUAGUCAACUCUACAGAUCUGAAUAAAUCCUGGUAUUUGUACAAGUUCUCAAGAUAUUCCAAAAUUGUGCGAAUGAUAGCAUGGAUGCUACGAUUUGUACAAAAUUGCCGAAAUCCAAUUAACAAGAUGAAAGAUCUUUUAACUGUUGCAGAACUAGAUGCCGCCGAAAGAAAGGUGAUACAAAUCGUGCAACAAGAAACCUUUAAUAACGAAGAUGCAAGAUCAAAACUUAAAUCACUCUGUGUGUUUAAUGAUUCUGAUGGACUAAUUAGAUUGAAAACUAAAAUUACUAGACGAGAUGAUGAAGAAAAUUUUAGAUACCCUCUAGUAUUGCCUUGUAAGCACCCAUUAGUGGGAGAUAUUGUUAUAAUUGAAAGUGAUAUCAAAAAGCGACUAGACUGGCCUUUGGGAUUGGUAAUCGAAGUGUUUCCUGGGAAAGAUGGCUGCAUCCGAGUAGUGAAGCUAAAAACAGCGAGUGGGGAACUUGUGCGUCCAGUGCAACGUUUAUACCCCUUGGAAUUAGACCAUGACGAUCCUGUGGGUGCGAGAAAAAACGAACCGGUUGCUUCGUAUGAAGAAAUCGAAAUCCCGAGCUCGGAAAAUAACGACUAUGAAACAAAAACUAGAAGUGGAAGAAAAGUGGUUAAACCUUCACGUUUUAACUAACUUUUAAACUUUAUUAUGUACUUUUCAAAUAUGUGCAUUUCAUGUUUUGAUUUCUAAAUAUUUUGAAUGCAAUAUUUUGUUAAUUUUGAUUUUGUAACCUCCUAAUUUAAAAAUCAAAAGGUGGGAGGAUGUUACGAGCGCCUUUGGCUAAAAACUAAUUUUAACUUUAAUCAUACUAGAGCUAUAACUUGCUUUUACAACUCUAAAAUCAGAAUUAACUGCGCGCGAAACCAAUGUAUGUUUUUGUAUAUGGCAACUAAAUAUAAAUAUAGCAUGUAAAUAGAAUUGUAAUUUAGAUAGAUAAUAAAAUGGAGUCGGAUUAAUAACGAGUGGAUUAUUUCACAUUACGAUCCCACAUCUUUGAAUCUUAUUAGCGGAGAAACGACUGAAUGAAAUGAAAUUCAGAUCUCAGCCGGGAGUAGGGAAUACUACUACCAUCGCACAUAUUGAAGAUGUAAAAUUGAAUUCCAUUAAUAAGAAUGGCUUCUAGCUUAGAAGGAUAUAUUGUGGAACAUUAAAUUGCUGCAGGAGGUGGUGACAUGCAAAUAAAAGAGUUUGCAUUUGUAUAAUACAUUUUUGGAAAGAAACGUAAGAUAACCUUAAAACAUCUUUAUUAACAGGUGCCAGUGGCAUGGAUUUUGGAACAAAGUAUUGCAAUAUUUACAGAAGUCAUGAACAGUUCUAUAAUUUAUACCUUUGAGAGUCUUGAUCUUUUUUAGAGUUAUUUAUUUUUCUGAAAGUCACUUUUAUAUCAUAUAUAUUUUUCCCUUCAGUUUUCUUUCAAAAUAUUAAAUUAAUUCAAAUGUCUAUUGCAAAUGAAAUGUUACAAUUAAAAACUGUAAUUUAAUCUAAAUUAGUAUAUUGAUUUUACUUCCUUUCCCCCUUUUUUUAAAAAAAAAAAUGUAUGUGUUUAAAUAUAUAGGCACAAUGAUAGUAAUUUUUAUGUUAUUUUCCUUAGUUUCAUUCUGAUAAACCAUUUUGUAUGAAUUGUCAGAAGAAUUUUGGAAAGGGAAAAUAAUAUACUGAGAAAGAAAUGAACAGCCUAAAAUUUUAAUUGUGAAUGUCGGGAAGUAUACUCAUCUACAUUUGUUAAGAAACAUUUGUUGUUAUAUAUAUAUAUAUAUUAGUUGUAUUGAAAUAAGUAGUAAAAAGUUUGUAGGAUUAGUAGAGUUUGUUAUUAUUAUUGUUGCAUAGGUUUAUUAUUGUUAUGUUCCUUAUUUAUGUUUUAUUAUGUAAUUGUAUACAUCUGUAAGUUUUGAACAAAAUGUAUAGGAAUGAUCUGUCAAAUAGGUUGUUGGAAUCUCUGUUCCGAUUUUUUUUUAAGAGAUGAUUUCAGUAUACCUAUUGUAUACCACACUAUUGGCUCAAUAUUUUAUAUUUGUUUAAAUCAUUUAUACUGGUUCUUUACAGAAUUUUUUUCACAUUCAGCCACAAUAAUUGUAAAUUAAAUUUAUUGUACUGUUAUCACUGUUUUAAAAAAUUUUAUCAUUCACAUUGAUUUUAAUGAAUUUUUAAAAAGAAAAUGAAUAAACAUGUUUACAAAAAUGGUUUUUGAAGAAAAUUAAUAUCUUUUAUCAUCAUAUACAAAUUUUUAUGUGGAAUUCUAAAAAAGUAUUUGUGUAUCUUCAUAAUUUUGCUCAGUUACAGUCAUUUCCCUGGUACUUGUACACUGGUGCCUCCAAAUCCAAAGACAAAGAACAUUAAUUCUUAAAGUUAUAGAUUCUGAAUAUUAUAAUAUCAAAUUUUCAUGGUAACUUUUUUAUACUCAUUUGUGAUAAAAUCAGUACAAUGUUCAACUUCAAUCUCAUAUAUGUUUUAUCUUCCAUAGCAUUAUCCAUUAUUUUUAUUGACUGCAUUUUCUUGUAGAAUUGCUUACAUUGUUCAUUAAGACAUUGAAGGUCUUUAUUCUUAAUAAUAUUACAAAGGUCUUUAUCCCCAUAAAUUAUAUUACAAUUAAAAUUUUAUUUCUUUUUACACACAAAAAAAAAUCUGUAUUAAUGCAUAGUAAGAUGGAUAAUUUUAUAAUAAUAAGCUGAAAUUCAUAAUACAGUAAUGAAAAAUUAAAUGAUUUAAUUGAAAUAAGUAAAAAGAAAAAAUUAAAAAUAUUAAAUUAUAGUAAAAUUAUGGCUUUGAUACCCACUCAGUUUGUAAAUAAAUAACUCAUCAUUUUGAAAAUCGAUUGCAUUAAAAAUAGUAUAGAAAUAGAAAGAACUGGAAUUAAUAUUGAAUUGCAUAUUUUAUUUAGCAGAUACCACUUGAAAAUAAGGUAAUAAAAUUAUAAAUUAAAUUGUGAAUUUUAUAAAUUGUUUAUCAGUUUGGAAAUUUAUUUACUGAUUUUAUUAAUAAUAAUAAUAAUAUCCAGUUGAUCAAAAUAGUCAUAAAUUUUAUUUUAUUUUAACAAAAAAGUUUCCCUGGUGGUCCUUUUCUCCUUCACAAAUUUAAUUUACAAAUGAAACAUAUCAAAUGGAAGCAAGAUGUUUUAUGAAAACUACCAAUUUUUGCUCAGUUAUAUUAAAGUUGUGGUAGUUAAAUUAUACUUUCAAUCAACUGUUGCCUUAACGAAAGAGGCAGGUGAUAGAUAAUUUCUUUUAAUCAAUGAAUAAGUUUCAUUUUAAUCUCUUUGUUUACACUUACUUGAAAAUCAAUUCUUGUCCUUGGAUUUGAAGUGCCAACCAUUUUGGGUCAUGUGACUUUAAAUGUGUAUAGCAGAAGUGCGUGUGUUGUACAUAUCAGUUGAUCCAAUUCCAAACAACUUUGAAUGAAUUUGUUCAUUUAUGAUUUGUAUAGUAGGUAUUGUUUGGGUUGUUAUUUGUAAAUAAUGAAUGAUGAUCUUAUAUUAUAUGUAUUGUUAUGUUACUCGUUUAUGUGAUCUAUAUAAUCAAGAUUUUUAAUUUUGUGAAUGUUUCGUUUUUCUUUUAUUUUGUUAUAUCUAUGUAGUGAACAAAACUAAUUACAACUUCCAAAUGUUUGUAAUUUCGAGUAGUACAUUUAAGGAAGCGACCAAAGAAUGUGUUUGUAUCAAUGUUUAUACAAAUUUUUAUUCAUUUAUAUAUUUUUUCAUCAUGCAUUGAUGAAUUGCUUUGUGAAAUUUUGUUUAAAAAUGUAUUCAGGGUGUCUACCAACCACAGAAGUACUGUAUGUCAAAUCAAGUAAUGAUUUUUUUUCACUGAAUGAAAACUCCCAAAACUCAGUGCUCAAUGAAUUAAAACUCCCAUAUUGGAUUAUACAAGCAAUAGAUAAUUUUAAAAAAAAAAGUUUUUUUUUUAGAAUUAUAGACAAUUAAUAACAAACUUAAUUGCAAAACUUAUCAUUAAUCUGAGCUUUUUCAUUUCCAGCUUUACAUUGAAAUCAUAAAUUUGUUUUAUUGAUUUAAACUUAGAACUCUAAUAAGUAGACAAAAAAUUGAAUGUAUAUAUAGUAAAAUUUUUCAACAUACAUAUUUUGUGGCACUGAACUGUUUAAGGAAUUUUACAAGGAACUUGUAGACAAAAGCUUGUAGUUAAAAAGCAUAUGAUAAUUUUUUUGAAAUUGACAUAUAAUCUCUUACUUACUUUUUUUUACCAGUUUUAUAGCAAAUUAAAGAUCAAAUAAUCUCAAUAAUAUCUUUAUUAACUGAAUUUUUAUAAUUAUUUUUAUUUCAUGAACAAUUUUAAAAACUGUCUAACUAUCUAAAGAAUACUUAAAAAAUAAAGUUUACAGACUACUUCUCUUUGGACUUCAUAGACACCCUGGGAUUUAGUUGUGAAGAUGGUUGUUUCGCCAUUCCAUUUAUACUGAGUGAUGUAAAAGAAAAAAGUGAUGAAAAGACUUUGUGAUUUUAAAGCGAUUCAAAAGUAUUUAAUAUUCUGAUUAAUUGCUGAUAAAUGUGUCUUGAACUGUGCAUUAGUUAGAUAUACCUCAUUUUUAAAGGGUUCUUUUCUUAGAAGCUGAGGUGCAAUACAAAACUAAUUAUAAAUUAAAUUUUAUAAUAGUAAAAUUUUAUUUUUGAUUGAAAUAAUGCAGAUUUGCCACAAUAACUUUCCUAACUGUUGGACCUCCUAACAUUUGAUAGCAUAAACUAAGCAUAGGAAUGAAAUAAUAACGAGCAACUCCGUCCUUUAGCAUAGUACCUGUAACAUCUUCAAAAUACUUGCCUUUUAGAUAAACAAUCCAUUCUAAAGUCGUAUUUUCUUGUUAUUCUACUAUAAAUCAUAAUUUCUUGAUAGAACAAUCUAUACAUGGAAGAGAUAUUUUUCUUGACAGAUUUCACUGCACGGUAGAAUUAUUUCUGAAAUCCUCUGUCCACUAACUUUCAUUAUCUCGAAAUAAAUUCUUAUUCCAAUUAUUAUUUCAUAAAUGAAUGUUCAAAUUUUUCCAUAUUAAAGGUCAUAAAUUCCUUCUGAUAUAAUCCUUGAUAUUCCUCUUUACAAAAUGGCAAUACAAUAGUAUUCUUUGUUUAUUCAUAAUUAUUUUUGUUAUUAUUCUUUCUGUUAUUUUGAAGACCCAGUUUUUUAGCUUGUUAUCUCAUUUUUAUCAAAUAAGAACAAUUUCAAAUUAGUUAUUUUGUAAUUGAAAUUUUGAGAAAUGUUAUAAGUAAUCUGUAGAUAUAUUUCAAAUCAUUCUGUUUAAAGGGAAAAAGAGCUUCUGAGAUUCAGAUUGGACUUUUUUUGCGGAUUUUGUUGUGGUUUUAAUUGAGAACUGAUAUUUUAUUUACACCUUUUAAAAUUGAUAUGUGUGUGGUUAUUAUUACUAAAUUUCUAUUUUCUGAUUUUAAAUUCCUUUUUAAAGCUAUAUCGACUUUAUUUAUACUUUAUCUGCUGUUGUUUUUUAACCAAGAUUUUCAUACUUUAGGUCCAUUUUUUUUAAUUUUUUUUAUAAUUGAUGAUUAAUUUCUUUCAUAGGAAACCAUUUUAUUUAUAAUAAGUCAGUUCUGUCUAAUGUUCUAUUUGCCUACUUCUUGAAUUUGAUAUCUAUUCAUUUUGGAAAGUAUUUGAAUCAAAUAUUUAAUAUUUUUGCAAAUAAGCAUGUUUUUGUAAAUUUGUAUUGGAUUAAUUAUUCAGUGAUCAUGUUUUAUGGACAUCAGGUCUCACUUUUGUAUUUUGGCUUCUUUAAAUUUCUCAAACUCAUUGCCUACUAUAUAUAAACAUAAAAAGUUAUCUGCUUGAUGCUUAAAGUUAGAUGCCUUUCCAUCAUAUGUUAAGUUUUCUCUUACAAUUUUUUUUUUAACUUUAUUUUCCUUCCUGCCUUGUCAUUUAAAAUUGUAUAACUAAAGAAUUCUGUGGUAUAGCCAAAUAAUGACAGUGAUAGUGGUCUAUUCUGGGUGGGACUUCAAAAAAAGUAUCGCAUAUUUUGAUGCAAGCAUCUAUUUAAUACAUUAUAACCAUUUAUUAAAAUUAGGUUUUAUCUAAGAUCAUCAAUAAGCAAUUUGAUAUUAAGAAUUCUUGCAACAUUAUCUGUUCAAAAUAAACUAAAUUUUUUAUAGAUUUUAUUGUUAUUAUCAAUGAUUUUGUUCAUGAAAAAAGGCAAGUAAAGUUGUUUUGUAAUUUUUUUGUUUCACAUUUCUUGAUACAUUAAUGGUUUUUUUUUCUUUAAAUUUAUUUAAAAGUUUAUGUACCCUUGCAAUUUGCCAGGAAAUGAACACAAAAAUCACAGCUGAGCCACUAUUUAUGCCUUAUUUCAAGCAAUAAAAAUAUUUACAAUGACUCUAGUCAGAUUAUGAGAAUAUUUGAAUCUCACUAAUUAAUUAUGAAGCUCCAAAAGCAUAACUUACUGUUUCAGGUUAUAUGCUCUUAUCUUACUAAGAAUAAGUAGUUGGUAGUUUUGAUUUCGGUAAAUGUAGUGGUUUUCUUGUAUUUUUUCAAACUAGUGUCUUGCAUAGUGACUGCCAUUUUGUAGUACAAGCCAUCCAGCAGAAGGUUUAGUACCAGUUUUAUGAAGUAUGUUGUUUCUCUGGUUUUGAUGAUGUUGAAAGCUUGCAGUCUGAUCAAUUUUUUUCUUUUGUUGUUUUUAUAUAUAAUAUUCAUAAAAAAUUUUUACAGCACUUGCAUAAAUUGUAAAAUUGUCAUUCACUUGAAAUAAAAGCUGUAUAACAUUUUACUAAAUAUAUCCAUUUUAGAGGAUUUUAUAUUUUGAAAUUUUGUCGACGAAAAUGCUUAUUCUUGUACAGUUUUGAAAAUAUACAUUAAUGUUUCUAGCAAAUGUUUUUCUAUUACAAAUAAAUUUAACUGUACUUUUUAAAACUCUCUAAAACCUAAAAUUUGUAAAUGAUUGAUAUUUUUAAUUCAAAUCUGUAAUAUCACUAAUUGAUUCCAAGAAACCAGAUUUUAUAGAGCUGUAUUUUUUCCAGAGUGUAUAAUUGUGUUCAAAUGAUAGCUUUUCAUUUUAAUUCCAUUUGUACUCUAUAAAAUUCUUAAAUAUUCAAAAAUGUUUUUUUUAAUGCAUAACUUUGCUAGGACAAAUAAAAGAAUGUCGCCUAAAAGCAGUCCUUUUAUUUCAUAAUUCUGUAUUCCAAUGAGUUCCUUACAUUUCAAUAUCGGCAAUUAAUUUUUACUUGCUUUAGUCUGAAACUUUUAUUACAAAAUGAAUUUUCAGUCUUUAUAUCCAUGAAAGGAGCCGGAGAGGGAUUUUAAAAUAAUUUUACUAAGUGAUGGGAAAUUUUCUUAUUUUCACAAAACUAUUACAGAAUUAAUUUUUAUGUGUGUUUUUAUAAAUUUUUAUAAUUUAGACAGUCUUGUCAUAAAAAAAUCAGUUCUUUUUUUUUUUAAUGGAAGUAUUGUAAUAAAUUUUUCCCCUGCAAAAAUCAUUGGCAUCUUAUUCAAAUUGAAAUAUAAAUUAGUAAUUCUGCGAGAUUAUUUAUCGCUCGCAAAAAGCGAUUAAGAAUAAAAUUAUAACAACAGUUCCUUUAACAUUCUGAGACUCAUAAUUUAAUUAUAAUAUCUAAAAUUAAAUAAGAAGCGGAACAAAUUUUUUUCCCACUCAAAUGUAUUUUCAAAAGAAAAAAAACCUGGCACACCUGACUACAUUCGUUUUUAAUCAAUUGUCACCACAACGUAUGAAUACAUAUUCCUGAAAUAUUGGGACUGCUUUUCUAUUCAGUGUUUGUAUAUUACGAUUGAGGUCUAAAAAGAAGGCUACAUUGUGAGUUAGCUUGCACCUUGGCAAUUCAACCUUCAUGAAGGUCAAAGCAAUAAAGCGAUUCCGUCUUAACACUUUCUCGUAGACAAUGAUUUCCCAUAGUUGUAUACUCUAUGCUGCUAAGUCAAAGUACAUUUUUGUGUCGCGUUUCUUCUUUUUCUUGUAUCACGUACUGUAUGCAAGAACUGUACUUAUUUUUCUCGAUAUUUCAUUAAAGAUUAUGCUGAAAAAAAAA